rnacentral:rRNA from 1 species
GGCGGCAGGCCUAACACAUGCAAGUCGAGCGGCAGCACGGGUACUUGUACCUGGUGGCGAGCGGCGGACGGGUGAGUAAUGCCUAGGAAUCUGCCUGGUAGUGGGGGAUAACGCUCGGAAACGGACGCUAAUACCGCAUACGUCCUACGGGAGAAAGCAGGGGACCUUCGGGCCUUGCGCUAUCAGAUGAGCCUAGGUCGGAUUAGCUAGUUGGUGAGGUAAUGGCUCACCAAGGCGACGAUCCGUAACUGGUCUGAGAGGAUGAUCAGUCACACUGGAACUGAGACACGGUCCAGACUCCUACGGGAGGCAGCAGUGGGGAAUAUUGGACAAUGGGCGAAAGCCUGAUCCAGCCAUGCCGCGUGUGUGAAGAAGGUCUUCGGAUUGUAAAGCACUUUAAGUUGGGAGGAAGGGCAGUUACCUAAUACGUAAUUGUUUUGACGUUACCGACAGAAUAAGCACCGGCUAACUCUGUGCCAGCAGCCGCGGUAAUACAGAGGGUGCAAGCGUUAAUCGGAAUUACUGGGCGUAAAGCGCGCG